rnacentral:rRNA from 1 species
GAUGAACGCUGGCGGCGUGCCUAAUACAUGCAAGUCGAGCGAAUGGAUUAAGAGCUUGCUCUUAUGAAGUUAGCGGCGGACGGGUGAGUAACACGUGGGUAACCUGCCCAUAAGACUGGGAUAACUCCGGGAAACCGGGGCUAAUACCGGGUAACAUUUUGAACCGCAUGGUUCGAAAUUGAAAGGCGGCUUCGGCUGUCACUUAUGGAUGGACCCGCGUCGCAUUAGCUAGUUGGUGAGGUAACGGCUCACCAAGGCAACGAUGCGUAGCCGACAGGAGAGGGUGAGCGGCCACACUGGGACUGAGGCACGGCCCAGGAUCCUACGGGAGGCAGCAGUAGGGAAUCUUCCGCAAUGGACGAAAGUCUGACAGAGCAACGCCGCGUGAGUGAUGAAGGCUUUCGGGUCGUAAAACUCUGUUGUUAGGGAAGAACAAGUGCUAGUUGAAUAAGCUGACACCUUGACGGUACCUAACCAGAAAGCCACGGCUAACUAUGUGCCAGCCGCCGCCGUAA